GGAGGGAGACAACAGGGCCGGCAUUAAGUUUUGGAGCUAUGCCCCCUUCACAAAACAAUGGAAUGACUAAUGGGAGACAUGGUUUUGGAGGGAGACAACAGGGAAGGUCUUCUGUGGCUGGUUUGAUUUCAAGGAGACAGAAUUGAAAGAGAACCUUUAUGUGUGAUAAGAUGUGCCGAAGCUCUCUGAUUUUGCUUGUCGGUUGGAAUUCAUUUCAGUGACUCCAUGGGCGUAUUUUAUUAUUUAAUCUUG
rnacentral:misc_RNA from 1 species